UGGGAAUUUUGGACAAUGGGCGAAAGCCUGAUCCAGCAAUGCCGCGUGUGUGAAGAAGGCCUUCGGGUUGUAAAGCACUUUUGUCCGGAAAGAAAUCCUUGGCUCUAAUACAGUCGGGGGAUGACGGUACCGGAAGAAUAAGCACCGGCUAACUACGUGCCAGCAGCCGCGGUAAUACGUAGGGUGCAAGCGUUAAUCGGAAUUACUGGGCGUAAAGCGUGCGCAGGCGGUUUGCUAAGACCGAUGUGAAAUCCCCGGGCUCAACCUGGGGAAACUGCAUUGGUGACUGGGCAGGCUAGAGUAUGGCAGAGGGGGGUAGAAUUCCACGUGUAGCAGUGAAAUGCGUAGAGAUGUGGAGGAAUACCGAUGGCGAAGGCAGCCCCCUGGGCCAAUACUGACGCUCAUGCACGAAAGCGUGGGGAGCAAAACAGGAUUAGAUACCCUGGUAGUCCACGCCCUAAACGAUGUCAACUAGUUGUUGGGGAUUCAUUUCCUUAGUAACGUAGCUAACGCGUGAAGUUGACCGCCUGGGGAGUACGGUCGCAGAUUAAAACUCAAAUGAAUUGACGGGGUCAUAGCUGUUUCCU
rnacentral:rRNA from 1 species